UACAGAGGGUGCAAGCGUUGUUCGGAAUCAUUGGGCGUAAAGGGCGCGUAGGCGGCUUAUCAAGUCAGGCGUGAAAUUCCCGGGCUCAACCUGGGGGCUGCGCUUGAUACUGAUUGGCUUGAAUGCGGGAGAGGAUAGUGGAAUUCCCAGUGUAGAGGUGAAAUUCGUAGAUAUUGGGAAGAACACCCGUGGCGAAGGCGGCUCUCUGGGACGGUACUGACGCUGAGACGCGAAAGCGUGGGGAGCGAACAGG
rnacentral:rRNA from 1 species